rnacentral:lncRNA from 1 species
GGUCUCCAAAGGAUGUUCUGCCUUCUUUUAAAUCAAAAAAUAUUCUUGCAUGGAUUCCUCAAGGACCCAAGCACUGACAGCUGCUCCCAAGGACUAGAGCACAGCAUAAUACCCUGAGCAACACUGUGGGUGAUCAAGACAGCAUACGUUCUUCAAAAUGUUACCUACAGGCACAGGCUGUGGAACAUCUGGUAAGCAGCUUCCAUUCUGCAUUCUUUGUUGGCCACUAAAACUUGAAGACUUGAGGAAAACCCAUUACCCAACUUGCCCCUAAAAAAUAAAUAUUUUAAGAGAUCCACCAGAAAGUUUGAUGAUAAUUCACUUAUUUAUGGACAUGCUAUUAACUUUAUAGCACAAGCCAGUUCUGCC